CCCUUAGAUGUUCUGGGCUGCACGCGCGCUACACUGAAGCUAUCAACACGUUUUCCCUCCCUGAGAAGGGCGGGUAACCUUUUGAAUCAGCUUCGUGGUAGGGAUCGGGGCUUGCAAUUGUUCCCCGUGAACCAGGAAUUCCUAGUAGUCGCGAGUCAUAAGCUCGCAUCGAUUAAGUCCCUGCCCUUUGUACACACCGCCCGUCGCUACUACCGAUUGAACGUUUUAGUGAGGCAUUUGGACCGACGCAUCUCAGUUUAACCGCUGGUUUGUGUUGGAAAGACUUCCAAACUUGAGCGUUUAGAGGAAGUAAAAGUCGUAACA
rnacentral:rRNA from 1 species